rnacentral:sRNA from 1 species
AUCUAAUUGAUACGCACUCACUUCUGUA